rnacentral:rRNA from 1 species
AGAGUUUGAUCCUGGCUCAGGAUGAACGCUGGCGGUAUGCUUAACACAUGCAAGUCGAACGGGAUCUCAGAAAUGGGGUUCAGUGGCGGACGGGUGAGUAACGCGUGAGGAUCUGGCUUCAGGUUCGGGACAACCACUGGAAACGGUGGCUAAUACCGGAUAUGCCGAGAGGUGAAAGAUAUAUUGCCUGAAGAUGAGCUCGCGUCUGAUUAGCUAGUUGGUAGGGUAAUGGCCUACCAAGGCGGCGAUCGGUAACUGGUCUGAGAGGAUGACCAGUCACACUGGGACUGAGACACGGCCAGACUCCUACGGGAGGCAGCAGUGGGGAAUUUUCCGCAAUGGGCGAAAGCCUGACGGAGCAGUACCGCGUGGGGGAUGAAGGCUCUUGGGUUGUAAACCCCUUUUCUCAGGGAAGAAAAAAAUGACGGUACCUGAGGAAUAAGCAUCGGCUAACUCCGUGCCAGCAGCCGCGGUAAUACGGAGGAUGCAAGCGUUAUCCGGA